rnacentral:lncRNA from 1 species
GCCGGGCUGGGUGAGAGUCUGGGAAGCCUGGCAAAACUGUGGCAGCCAGCAGAUUUUCAUCUCUGUGCUGACUGAGCGACGGAGAGGGCCGAAUGUGUAAUUUAUGCUGGGGAGGACUGCUAUGCUCGGUCUCUGCCGUGCGAGGAAGCAGGCUGAGAAGUAUGGAACUUGCCGUGGGCGCAAGUGCAGUCACACCAGGCUGACACCAGUGCUGAGGGGGCCAGGGGUCCAAAGCCUGAGCCACAGCUACCAGGCUCUGUCCCCUCACCACAUGUGAACUAGAGCAGGCGAAGGCAGCCAGCUGGGAGCCACGCACCCUGAUUUUCUUGCAUUCAGCUCGAGGCCCCCACCCCCUUCAGUGCAGCAGUGGCCUGCAGAGCCGGACACGGCGCCCACCCACCGUGUUGAUCUUCCUGGGCAGCGGCACAGGCGUCUCAGGCAGAGUGGGCGUGAGGUCGUUGGAGUCUUCUGACACCUGCUUCUGGAUGGCGUCUCUGGACUGCAUGUUUGGGGACAGAUCCACUGGGUGUGACUUCUGCAUGGCCCUCGGAGGGCUGCAGAGCCUUGGGGAACAGCGAAGGGUGCAGACUUCAGAGGCAGACAAGCCUGCCCAGGAAUCCCAGCUGUACCCCUGAGCUGCAGAUCUGCAGGAGGACUUAUGAAGGCACAGAAUGGGGUGAGAGGUGAGAAGAACCUGUCGUGAAGAAAGUGAGGCCUCCUGUGAGGCAGACGCACUGAAGGGCGCGCUCCUGGUCCUGUCUGCACUGUCUCGGUGUCGAGCUCCUGUCUGGUCUACUCACUUUGUAAGACCAAACUCACUCCACCUCCUCAGAUGGCCUGCCACCUCCUUCUUAAAGGCUGGCAUGGGGCCGGGGCCGGGCCGGACUAGCAGUCAGCACAGAGCAGAGACACCUGAGUCCAGAGACAGGAAUUGUGGGAGGACCCAUCACCCAUGCAAAGUUCAAAACAUGACAGAUACACUUCCUCCCUGUGGUGAGGCAGGUCCUGGG